CUUACAGUAAACAAAGAUGUCAACAUCCUAGGACACGAAGUGGGGCGUGUUAGCGGUAACGGGAGGGCGCUCCCGCCGCGCGCCUCCGCGCGGGGAGGGCGGUCGAGCGCCCCGAGGCGGGUCCGCGUCCGGGGGAGGCUGCAGCCCGGGCGCGGGGCGGGGUCGGGGCCGCCGGGAGUGCGAGUGCGAGUGCGGGCGCGGGGGCGGGGGCGGCGGGGCAAGGGCGCAGGCCGGAGGCGGGCCGCCCGCCCCUUUCCCGGGAAGCGCGCCCGCGGGGCCGGGUGACGCCGACCUUCCGUGACCUUGCCCGGCGCUCCCGGGCCCCUCGGCCGCCGCCGUCCCGCGGAGCUGCCCCGCGCGCCCUCGGCCUGCCCUCGGCCUGCCCCGGGUCGGGCCGCUGCUGCGGGGCCUGCGGCGCGGGGUCGCGGCUUCCCGCCGAGGCAGCCGCCCGCCUCCCGUAGUGCGCGGGACUUGCCUUUUUAAUCGCCACCGUCCCGGGUUGGUGUGGAUCCCUCACCGCUACAUCUUGUUAACUUGCUAAACAAUGUUUUUUUUUUUUUUUUUUUCCCUGCAAAUGCCCUGCAGGCCAACCGCAAUCCCAUUUUUUUAAUCCGGUGCGUUGCUCCGCCAGGCCUGCGGGUUGCACCGCUUUUGCGGAGGCCAGGCACGAGGAAGAAGCGGAAGAAGCGUAGUUUAGGGCCAAAUUCCAAGUUACAAGCACCGGGGAAACUCGGAAAAGGGAGAACUCGGUUUGUCCAGGAAUCCCCCAAGAAAGCCUUCAAAGACCUGGGCAAAGCAGAGGACUGUUAAAGAAGGGUAGGAUGGGGGGGUGGGGGGGAGAUGGGUAUAAUAGGACUAAUGCACCUCUGAGUUCUAUUAUUCUGAACAUUUUUCGAGACGAUGAAGAUGCACAAGAAGAUACAAAAUCACCCUUGUGCUCAUCACCUGGAUUUAAACUGUUCCUGUCCACGCGCAUGUGGAAUUUAGGAAGCAAAACAGGCAUAUAUUUGGAAACCCUUUACGUGGCCUACUCUUCAGUUUUCAGAAAAGUGGCAAGACAAUAG
rnacentral:lncRNA from 12 species